AAUAAGAUGCCUGAAUAAAGGGUUAUUUUGAUAGAAUAAUUCAUGUAAAUAUUACUCUUAUUA
rnacentral:tRNA from 1 species